rnacentral:rRNA from 1 species
UACGUAGGGUGCGAGCGUUGUCCGGAAUUAUUGGGCGUAAAGAGCUCGUAGGCGGUUUGUCACGUCUGCUGUGAAAUCCCGAGGCUCAACCUCGGGCCUGCAGUGGGUACGGGCAGACUGGAGUGCGGUAGGGGAGAAUGGAUUCCUGGUGUAGCGGUGGAAUGCGCAGAUAUCAGGAGGACACCGAUGGCGAAGGCAGUUCUCUGGGCCUUACCUGCGCUGAGGAGCGAAAGCGUGGGGAGCGAACAGG